rnacentral:lncRNA from 1 species
CUGUAUUCCUGCAAAAAUAACUUUGAUUUAAUUGUAUCUAGUUUACCAUAACCCUGUUCACUCGGUUGUUAUGAUAAAAAUAGAGUCAUUUCAAAAGUUCUUAAGAGGAAUGCAUCUCACCAACAUCGGAAGUAAUGUUUAGUAAUGCAAUCUAAGAAACAGAAUGUCCUCAUUUCAGGACGAGCUCAUGACGUCCGAUUGCAGCUGUGAGCUGGAACCUGUCACCCUUAUCUGCCACAGACUCUACCUUACCACCCCCGAGAGACUGUCAGGAAGUUGGUGCCACUGACCUCGGACGGAACAAAGUGUCCUCUCUGUCCACAGGAGUGGGCGAGGAAGCGCUGUGAUCCAAAACCCAGAAACUGGACAUAACUGGUGUGUUUAGGAUGGCGUGCAGGCACGAGCAUCCGCUGAAGUUCCUGAACCUGAAGAGAGGAGAGAAUCAUUUCCUGUUUGCAACUGCUGUGUUCCUGCUGGGGGACCUGAAAGCAAUGCAGGGACCAGACAUCACAACGUCUCUUCACUAUGACAUUGCAUGCCAGCUGAAGCCUCAUUUACAGGUAAAAUUGAUCAAAUCAAUCUAUGUUAGCUAUUAUAAUGCAUUUAAUAUUUAACCACUAUGCUAUAGUGAGUUUCCUGAGUCGCUUGAUACCAUUAUCAAUGGCUUGAAACAGAUUGCUCCAUACCAACUUUGUAACCAUAAGUCAUAUUUUACACACAAAAUAACUGCUCCUUCACUCAUAUAUAUAUAUAUAUAUAUUUUAAGUCUCGAUCUGAGGGUGGACACAUUUACAGUGCCAGCCUUUCAUGCCUAAGCUCAUGAUGCUGACAGUCAGGUAAUGAAUACAUUUUUUUCUUUAUCAUUUAUUCUGUUAAACACCAAUUCUUUGUAGUUGCAGACAGUUGCCCUAACAGUAUUAAGAAACAGCUAGUUGUAAUUUGUCCUAGUCCCUUAAUCAUCACCCAUUGUAAUGCUUAUUCUGGUUUCUGAUUGUACUUUACAUUUCAGGUCACUGAUGGUACCAGGUAUGUGACUGUG